UUCUAGUAACCCCGCAUGGCUAC
rnacentral:siRNA from 1 species